rnacentral:ncRNA from 1 species
AUCGCUAGGGGUGCUUUGUGAACCAUUGCUGAGAAAAACCCUUGGAACCUGAUGCGGGUCAUGCCGAUGAAGGGAAGCGUGAAAUU